AGAGUUUGAUCAGUGGCUCGAGGACGAACGCUGGCGGCGUGCUUAACACAUGCAAGUCGAACGGAGAGCCGAUGAAGGAGUUUUCGGACAACGGAGUCGGUUUCUUAGUGGCGGACUGGUGAGUAACGCGUGAGCAACCUGCCUUUCAGAGCGGGAUAGCAGUUGGAAACGACUGAUAAUACCGCAUGACAUGUCUCUUCCGCAUGAGAGAGACAUCAAAUGAUUUUCGCUGAAAGAUGGGCUCGCGUCCGAUUAGGUAGUUGGUGAGGCAACGGCUCACCAAGCCGACGAUCGGUAGCCGGACUGAGAGGUCGAUCGGCCACAUUGGGACUGAGACACGGCCCAGACUCC
rnacentral:rRNA from 1 species